UGGAGCCCGAACUCAAGAAAUCACCAAGUUCGGUCUGACCCUGACGUCUUCUCAGCAGUUUCUGAGUUCACCGUUUCUGCCCAGAUGGGAAACAACUGGAAGGCAUCUGGUAAGUUGGGUGGGGCUCCCUACAUUGACUGGUUUAUAAAACCAAACAACAUGCAUUUCAGGUUCCAAUCUGUGGCUUCUGGUUUGAAGCCACAAAUCUUCAAGUUCUAAAGCAGUGGCUCUUAAGCAGGAGUUAUGAGUGUCUAGAGUCAUUUGGGCUGGAUGGGUGGAGGUCAUGGAUGCUGCUAUAAACAUCCUACAAUAGACAGGACAUCCCUUCACAACAAAGAGUUACCCAGCCAAAAAUGUUAGUGGUGCUGAGGCUGAGAAACCCUGUCCUAAAGAAAAGCAGAAUGGUGUCCUGCCCCCUCCUGAUCAAGCUUUCUAACUGCAAGUCCUGAGGACCUCACCUGUGUCUCCAAACAUGCCUGCUCUGGUCUCCAGACCCAUCCCUGUCAAACACGUGACGGUGGCUGGGCUCUCAGCUCCAUUUUGGAGGGAACUGUAGGUCAGUGUUCUGUCUGGACUCCCAGAGCCUGCGACGUUUUGGUUUACCAGAAUGACCCUUUGCUUUGUUUGACUUGAAGCAAGAAGUACCAUGAGCACCUUCACCUGAAAUAGGUCCACACUUAACAUCAUCUGGUUCUUCUCUCAACAUGGUCCAGGUUAACUGCUCCUGUUAGUUUAAAAAGCCUGCAAAAAAAAAAAAAAAAAAUGGAGUUCCCGUCGUGGUGCAGUGGUUAACGAAUCCAACUAGGAACCAUGAGGUUGCGGGUUCACUCCCUGCCCUUGCUCAGUGGGUUAACGAUCCGGCGUUGCCGUGAGCUGUGGUGUAGAUUGCAGACGCGGCUCGGAUCCCGAGUUGCUGUGGCUCUGGCGUAGGCUGGUGGCUACAGCUCCGAUUCAACCCCUGGCCUGGGAACCUCCAUAUGCCGCGGGAGCAGCCCAAGAAAUAGCAACAACAACAACAAAAAAGACAAAAAGACAAAAAAAAAAAAAAAAAAAGCCUGCAGAAUUUUAUUUCGGUAAUUGAUAAUUAGUAUUGGUGUGAAUGUCUAAGGACUUCCUUCUGCUCACGUGAUCUGCCCCAGUGGUUCUCCACAGGGGACAAUUCUGCCCACAGAAGACCUUUGUCUAGCCACGUGUUUGGUUGUCACAGCUGGCAGGGAGGAAGGGGACGGGGAUAUGGUAGUGCCAUCUAGUGGCUAAAGGCCACGUUGCUGCUGAACACCCUAGAAGGCACAGGACGGCCCCCACAA
rnacentral:lncRNA from 1 species